rnacentral:rRNA from 1 species
UGAAACGACUGCUAAGACUGGAUAGGAGAUAAGAAGGCAUCUUUUUAUUUUUAAAAGACCUAGUAAAAUAGGUAUGCUUAAGGAGGGGCUUGCGUCACAUUAGUUAGUUGGUAGGGUAAAAGCCUACCAAGACGAUGAUGUGUACCCGGACUGAGAGGUUGAACGGCCACAUUGGAACUGAGACACGGUCCAAACUCCUACGGGAGGCAGCAGUAGGGAAUUUUCGGCAAUGGAGGAAACUCUGACCGAGCAACGCCGCGUGAAUGAUGAAGUAUUUCGGUAUGUAAAGUUCUUUUAUUAAGGAAGAAAAGAUGGUGGAAAAACCAUUAUGACGGUACUUAAUGAAUAAGCCCCGGCUAACUAUGUGCCAGCAGCCGCGGUAAUACAUAGGGGGCGAGCGUUAUCCGGAAUUAUUGGGCGUAAAGGGUGCGUAGGCGGUUUAAUAAGUUUAUGGUCUAAGUGCAAUGCUUAACAUUGUGAUGCUAUAAAAACUGUUUGACUAGAGUUGGAUAGAGGCAAGUGGAAUUCCAUGUGUAGUGGUAAAAUGCGUAAAUAUAUGGAGGAACACCAUGAGCGAAGGCGGCUUGCUGGGUCUUAACUGACGCUGAGGCACGAAAGCGUGGGGAGCAAACAGGAUUAGAUACCCUGGUAGUCCACGCCGUAAACGAUGAGUACUAGACGUUGGGUUAAACCAGUGUCCGAAGUUAACACAUUAAGUACUCCGCCCUGAGUAGUACGUACNCCAAGUAUGAAACUUAAAGGGAAUUGAACGGGACUCCGCACAAGCGGGGGAUCAUGUUGUUUAAUUCGAAGGUACCCGAAAAACCUCACCAGGUCUUGACAUGCUUCUGCAAAGUUGUAGAAACACAGCGGAGGUUAUCAGUUGCACAGGUGGUGCAUGGUUGUCGUCAGCUCGUGUCGUGGGAUGUUGGGUUAAGUCCCGCAACGAGCGCAACCCCUUGUUGUUAAUUGCCAUCAUUAAGUUGGGGACUUUAGCAAGACUGCCAGUGAUAAAUUGGAGGAAGGUGGGAACGACGUCAAAUCAUCAUGCCCCUUAUGACCUGGGCUACAAACGUGAUACAAUGGCUGUUACAAAGGGUAGCUGAAGCGCAAGCUUUUGGCAAAUCUCAAAAAAACAGUCUCAGUCCGGAUUGAAGUCUGCAACUCGACUUCAUGAAGUUGGAAUCGCUAGUAAUCGCGAAUCGGCAUGUCGCGGUGAAUACGUUCAACGGGGUUUGUACACNCCGCCCGUCAAAUCGA